rnacentral:snoRNA from 1 species
CUGCAACCAGCCAAGCUGAGCAUGCUCUUCUCACCAUGGACCCAACGUGCAGUGGCUCCUGGGUAGUGUUUGCAGCAUGUUAUUUGCAUGGUGACCUAAGGAAGCUUGGAGAUAGCU